GAGAUGGUCAGAUGGGGCCCUUUCCUGUGGUGGCGCAGUCCUUGGAUGCAGCCCAGGACAGCAGCAGUGAGAAACCAGUGGGUCCUUGACCAGCCCACUGUCUUCAACUCUUGGCCUAGGGCAUCUAAAGAGUAUGAUGAGGACUCCCUCAUCCCCAGCAGCCCGGCCACCGAGACCUCAGACAACAUCAGCCCGGUGGCCAGCCCGGUGCAUACAGGGUUUCUGGUGAGCUUCAUGGUUGACGCCCGGGGUGGUUCCAUGAGAGGAAGUCGCCACAACGGCCUGCGAGUGGUGAUCCCGCCACGGACGUGCGCAGCGCCCACCCGCAUCACCUGCCGCCUGGUCAAGCCCCAGAAGCUCAGCACGCCACCCCCACUGGCCGAGGAGGAGGGCCUGGCCAGCAGGAUCAUAGCACUGGGGCCCACGGGGGCACAGUUCCUGAGCCCCGUAAUCGUGGAGAUCCCGCACUUUGCCUCCCAUGGCCGUGGAGACCGCGAGCUCGUGGUUCUGAGGAGCGAAAACGGCUCCGUGUGGAAGGAGCACAGGAGCCGCUAUGGAGAGAGCUACCUGGAUCAGAUCCUCAACGGGAUGGACGAAGAGCUGGGGAGCCUGGAGGAGCUGGAGAAGAAGAGGGUGUGCCGAAUCAUCACCACCGACUUCCCGCUGUACUUCGUGAUCAUGUCACGGCUCUGCCAGGACUACGACACCAUCGGUCCCGAAGGGGGCUCCCUGAAGAGCAAGCUGGUGCCCCUGGUACAGGCAACGUUCCCGGAGAAUGCCGUCACCAAGAGAGUGAAGCUGGCUCUGCAGGCCCAGCCUGUCCCGGAUGAGCUUGUCACUAAGCUCCUGGGCAACCAGGCCACAUUCAGCCCCAUUGUCACCGUGGAGCCCCGGCGCCGGAAGUUCCACCGCCCCAUUGGGCUUCGGAUCCCACUGCCUCCUUCCUGGACCGACAACCCGAGGGACAGCGGGGAGGGAGACACCACCAGCCUGCGCCUGCUUUGCAGCGUCAUUGGAGGAACAGACCAAGCCCAGUGGGAAGACAUAACAGGAACCACCAAACUUGUAUAUGCCAACGAGUGCGCCAACUUCACCACCAAUGUCUCCGCCAGGUUUUGGCUGUCAGACUGUCCUCGGACUGCUGAGGCUGUGAACUUUGCCACCCUGCUGUACAAAGAGCUCACUGCAGUGCCCUACAUGGCCAAAUUCGUCAUCUUUGCCAAGAUGAAUGACCCCCGAGAGGGGCGCCUGCGCUGCUACUGCAUGACAGAUGAUAAAGUGGACAAGACCCUGGAGCAGCAUGAGAACUUCGUGGAGGUGGCCCGGAGCAGGGACAUAGAGGUGUUGGAAGGAAUGUCCCUGUUUGCAGAACUCUCUGGGAACCUGGUGCCUGUGAAGAAAGCUGCCCAGCAGCGGAGCUUCCACUUCCAGUCAUUUCGGGAGAACCGUCUGGCCAUGCCUGUAAAGGUGAGGGACAGCAGUCGAGAGCCGGGAGGGUCCCUGUCGUUUCUGCGCAAGGCGAUGAAGUACGAGGACACCCAGCACAUUCUCUGCCACCUGAACAUCACCAUGCCCCCCUGCGCCAAGGGAAGUGGAGCCGAAGAUAGGAGAAGGACCCCGACGCCCCUGGCCCUGCGAUACAGCAUUCUCAGUGAGUCCACACCAGGUUCUCUCAGUGGGACAGAGCAGGCAGAGAUGAAGAUGGCUGUUAUCUCAGAGCACCUCGGUCUCAGCUGGGCAGAGUUGGCCCGGGAGCUGCAGUUCAGUGUGGAAGACAUCAACAGGAUCCGAGUGGAAAAUCCCAACUCCCUGUUGGAGCAGAGCGUGGCCUUGCUGAACCUCUGGGUCAUCCGUGAAGGCCAAAACGCAAACAUGGAGAAUCUGUACACAGCCCUGCAGAGCAUUGACCGUGGCGAGAUCGUGAACAUGCUGGAGGGUUCCGGCCGACAGAGCCGCAACUUGAAGCCAGACAGGCGGCACACCGACCGCGACUACUCGCUGUCACCCUCCCAGAUGAAUGGUUACUCCUCACUGCAGGACGAGCUGCUGUCCCCUGCCUCCCUGGGCUGUGCACUUUCCUCUCCGCUACGUGCAGACCAGUACUGGAACGAGGUGGCCGUCCUAGACGCCAUCCCCUUGGCGGCCACGGAGCAUGACACCAUGCUGGAGAUGUCUGACAUGCAGGUGUGGUCCGCGGGCCUCACGCCUUCUCUGGUCACUGCUGAGGACUCCUCUCUGGAGUGUAGCAAGGCUGAGGACUCUGAUGCCACAGGUCACGAGUGGAAGUUGGAGGGGGCACUCUCAGAGGAACCGCGGGGCCCCGAGUUGGGCUCUCUGGAACUUGUGGAGGACGACACAGUGGAUUCAGAUGCCACAAAUGGCCUUAUCGAUUUGCUUGAACAGGAGGAAGGUCAGAGGCCAUCAGAGGGGGCAAGCCCGAAUCACACAUUCCCCCACCGUGAGUCAGGUGACGGAGAGGAGUCAGGACAGACUGCAGGACUGGGAUGCAGACGGCUCGAUUGUCUCAUACCUGCAAGAUGCUGCACAAGGUUCCUGGCAAGAGGAGGUCACGCAAGGUCCACACUCAUUCCAGGGAACAAGUACCACGACUGAAGGGCUAGAGCCCGGUGGAUCUCAGGAGUACGAGAAGGUCCUGGUGUCUGUAAGCGAGCACACGUGGACAGAACAGCCCGAGGCUGAGAGCUCCCAGGCCGACAGGGACCGGAGGCAGCAAGGCCAAGAAGAGCAGGUGCAGGAGGCCAAGAACACCUUCACCCAAGUGGUGCAGGGGAAUGAGUUUCAGAAUAUUCCAGGGGAGCAGGUGACAGAGGAGCAAUUCACGGAUGAGCAGGGCAACAUUGUCACCAAGAAGAUCAUUCGCAAGGUGGUUCGACAGAUAGACUUGUCCAGCGCCGAUGCCGCCCAGGAGCACGAGGAGGUGACUGUCGAGGGGCCCCUGGAGGAUCCCAGUGAGCUGGAGGUCGAUAUUGAUUCCUUUAUGAAACACUCCAAGGUACUGAGGCGCCCGCGGCCCUGGGGGACCCAGCGCCAUCACUGCUGCCUUGCUCUGCCCGUCUCGCCGGGCCGUCUGCGUGACACCUCCCUCCACUCACCUCUUUACGAGCUCUCUCUCCAGUCUCUCUUCUCCCUGGUGGGCAGUGUGUCUGCCACCUCCGUGUGGCCUCCUUUCGAUCUUCUGCCUGUGUUCUGCCCGUCUUUGCGAUCUGUCCUGCUUUCUGUCUCUGCUGCUGUCUGCAGGUGGAGCUGAGAGGGAGUGGCCUACAGCCGGACCUGAUAGAGGGCAGGAAGGGGGCGCAGAUAGUGAAGCGGGCCAGCCUGAAAAGGGGGAAACAGUGACCCCGAGCCGCUCUCCUUGGAGUAGCCUCUCGGGAGGUAAUGCUGCCCUUCUCAUCCCCUCUGCAUGGCCUGGUCUUCAGUGGAGUGGCUGCUCCCUGUCUCACCCUAUCCCCUCCCAGCCACCCCAGCAUGAUGUGGGACAAACAACUUGUUGCUGUGUCUUGAGGCAGAGAUUCUCACUUCCCAACCCUGCUAACAGUUGGCUCUGAACCCCAGCUUCCUCAUCAAGGAAACAGAGUUAAUAAUAUCCACUUAUCAGGGACCGCAUGGUUUUGUAAGAAUGCCUUUUGGGCCGGGCACGGUGGCUCAUGUCUGUAAUCCCAGCAUUUUGUGAGGUCGAGGCGAGAAGAUUGCUUGAGGCCAGGAGUUCAAGACCAGCCUGGGCAACAGAGCAAGACCCCAUCACAAAAAAAAGAAAAAAAAAAGCCAGAAAGAAAAAAAUGCUCUUUGAAAAGUAAAAGCACUCUGUAAAUCUAA
rnacentral:sRNA from 1 species